GUUGCAUAAUACAAAUUCACUUUCUGUUCCCCUGGAUAUUAAUUUUGCCAAAUUCAACGUGCUUCUGUGUUAAACAAUUGACCAACUCUUUUUGGGCCUGUGAUUAACAAUGCUGCAUUAAUUGCCAGUCAGUCUCUUGCAAAUGGUGGGCGGAAGUACUUUGUUUUGCUAAUAAUCACUGAUGGAGUGGUAACAGAUCUACAAGAAACUAAAGAUGCUCUUGUGAAGGCAUCUGAUCUGCCAUUGUCCAUUCUCAUUGUUGGAGUGGGUGGAG
rnacentral:misc_RNA from 1 species